UUUCCAUCGGGGAAGUGAGCCUGGAGGACGCCGUGGAGUCCACACCCUACACCUGCCUUCCCCUUGCAGGUUUUUGGCCCAAAUCUCAGCUCCUUCAGCUACAUGGGGCCUCCCUGGACCCAACUCAGGGGCACCUUUUGGCCCAAGGGGAGUUUCAGAAGCAGCGAGGACAGACACAUGUGGGGGGCAUCUGCAGGUGGUGGAGGGUGUGAAAGGAGGUCCCUGAGCUGCCAGGCACCCAGACUGUGUCUGUAGGGAGGCCCCGCAGUCCCUGCACCCCCUCGACUGCCCGGUGCUCUCUGUGGAGAAACACGACAGACGCGGUUGGACACAGCACAGUGGAUGGACGUCCCCACCUGCUCCCUGCAGACACUUUGGGUGGAAGCCCAGACUGUCCCUGGCUGCCAAGCAGACCAUGCUGAGGGGUGGUGGCCAGGAGCCAGGGAGCCUGCCCACUCCUGCCCCAGUGACACCCCACAGGUCACAGGAGAAAUGCCAGGAGCCUCAUGGUGUGGAAAGGGACACGGAGGCCCGGAGCACUGAGGGGCUUUCCCAAGGCCACGCGGCCGGGCACGGGGAAGCUGGGCCCUCCCGGCGCCUCCAAGGCCUCUUCCCGGCUGGAGGCAGCUUCACCCACCAGGCCUGGCAGUCGAGAGUCUGAGACUUCAGUAGUAAUGGGGUUUCUUGGCAGGAAACUGGGAGAUGAGUAGGUUUCCGGAAAGGCUGGAUAGAACCUGAGAGCUGAAGGGAAACACCGGAGCCAGCCUGGCCCAAGGACCAGCCUUUAGUCCAACCGCAGGCCCUGUGCUGGCUGGGGCGCAGCUGGCUCUACCCCUGGGUGUGGCUGCAGUCACGGCCUCCCCGCCCUGCAAAUGCAGCUCUCAAUGCUGCCGGCUGCUCCCGACGUGAGGCCCAGCCCCAGCUGUGGAGCAAAGGUGCACCUCCAGGAGCAUCUCCACCAAACCUCAACGAAGACCAUCCCCCCCACAGCAGGGGCGAGCUGGAACCCCCUGAGCUGACCGCCUGGGGCCUCCUUCGGCCCCUUUAACCAAGCACGGUGGAGCCCAGGCUAUCCUGUCCACGAUUGCACCGCAGACGGGCGCCUGAGUGCCCGCGAGCACACACUGCUUUCAGAUCUGACUGAAGGCCCCUGCAGCAGCCCUGUGCUGACAUCCAUUGCCCCAGCGAUAAAGACCUGGGUCCUCGGUCCCUCCACAGCAGCCUGCACCCAAGUCCCCUCGCUGAGCUCCAGCCACCGGCCCCGCUGGGCAAAGUGACCAUGUGAUACGGAGCUCCUGCCUCCCCGGAGUUGGAUGUUCCGUGGCUGCGUGUGCCCUACAGCAGCACGGUUCAGUAGGCAGAGGCCACUUCUACUACCCGGCUAAGGAAAAGAUGGGCAGAGCCUGCUCUGGAUGACGCUGUGUUCCAGCCGGCGGAGAGGGUCCCCCAUUUCCUCGGAACUAAUCCUCCAGGAAAUUAACAGACAGUUUGCUGUGGACAACUAGAGCCCUCCCCUUCCUUAGCCCUGAGCGAGGUAAACAAUUCUGCUCUGCCUUCCGGAAGUUUCAAAUUAGCUCUUCAACCAGCGUUUUCACGCAGCUUCCAGUCCUGCCACAGUCUUGAAGAAGAGAUCAGCUUUCCCGUCUUCAUUCUUGCCAAGAUUAGCUGCCCUUCGAAUCUCCCGUGUGUCAUUAAUCCCAGCACGAACAAGCACUUGGGAACUGCGGGCUGCAGAUGGUCUGCUUAUCCUACGGAACCCUCCUCUUUUGAGGCUUAACCCCUUUAGUCUUUGUUGCUUCUGUAGCUUUCUGAUGCCAUUAAAGAGAUGAUUUUUA